rnacentral:rRNA from 1 species
CAGUAGCCGCGGGAAUACAGAGGGUGCGAGCGUUAAUUGGAUUUACUGGGCGUAAAGCGUGCGUAGGCGGCUAAUUGAGUCGGAUGUGAAAUCCCCGAGCUUAACUUGGGAAUUGCAUUCGAUACUGGUUAGCUAGAGUGUGGGAGAGGAUGGUAGAAUUCCAGGUGUAGCGGUGAAAUGCGUAGAGAUCUGGAGGAAUACCGAUGGCGAAGGCAGCCAUCUGGCCUAACACUGACGCUGAGGUACGAAAGCAUGGGGAGCAAACAGGAUUAGAUACCCGUGUAGUCCCUGUCUCUUAUAC